rnacentral:rRNA from 1 species
AUACGUAGGUGGCGAGCGUUGUCCGGAAUUACUGGGUGUAAAGGGCGUGUAGGCGGGGAGCCAAGUCAGAUGUGAAAUCCCGUGGCUUAACUGCGGAAUUGCAUCUGAAACUGGUUUUCUUGAGUGUCGGAGAGGAAAGCGGAAUUCCCAGUGUAGCGGUGAAAUGCGUAGAGAUUGGGAGGAACACCGGUGGCGAAGGCGGCUUUCUGGCCGAAGACUGACGCUGAGGCGCGAAAGCGUGGGUAGCGAACAGGAUUAGAUACCCUGGUAGUCCACGCCGUAAACGAUGGAUACUAGGUGUAGGAGGUAACGACCCCUUCGGUGCCGUAGUUAACACACUAAGUAUCCCACCUGGGGAGUACGGCCGCAAGGCUGAA